UCUUCCGUAGUAUAGUGGUCAGUAUAUGAGCUUGUCACCUUCACAUGGCGAAGACCCCGCUCGGGACCCGGGUUCAAUUCCCGGCGGGAGAG